UACGUAGGGGGCGAGCGUUGUCCGGAAUUAUUGGGCGUAAAGGGCGCGUAGGCGGUGACACAAGUCAGGUGAUAAAGGCACGGGCUCAACCGGUGUUAGGCACUUGAUACUGUGUUGCUAGAGUGCAGGAGAGGGGAGUGGAAUUCCAGGUGUAGCGGUGAAAUGCGUAGAUAUCUGGAAGAACACCAGUGGCGAAGGCGGCUCUCUGGACUGCAACUGACGCUGAGGCGCGAAAGCUGGGGGAGCAAACAGGAUUAGAUACCCUGGUAGUCCCAGCCGUAAACGAUGAACACUAGGUGUAGGGGGUAUCGACCCCCCCUGUGCCGGAGCUAACGCAAUAAGUGUUCCGCCUGGGGAGUACGGCCGCAAGGUUGAAACUCAAAGGAAUUGACGGGGGCCCGCACAAGCGGUGGAGCAUGUGGUUUAAUUCGAUGCAACGCGAAGAACCUUACCAGGGCUUGACAUCCCUCUGACAGCAUCAGAGAUGGUGUUUCUCUUCGGAGCAGAGGAGACAGGUGGUGCAUGGCU
rnacentral:rRNA from 1 species